UUGGGAACAUCCAACAAUGAACCAGAACAUGCCCUCCAUAUUUCCCUACACAGAGCAUUAUCACCUGGAAAAACAAAAUCAUCCACCCACCUGACUAGAAAAAUGAAACUAAGAAAAUAAUCAAAUAAAUCAAGAAUUUGUAAGGAAAAUUCAAUGACCUUCAAAAUGUUUUAGCUGUGAAUUAGACCCAAGUAAAUCGACCAUAACUGAAGCAAUGCAACAAUUUGCUAGUUCUCAAUUUAAUUAAGAAUACCCAUCUAUUUCUUGAUAGCAAAAAAAAAAACGACAAGAAAGAUAAUCUUUUUAGGGUAGAAUUUAUCUGAACAAAAUGCAAACUUUUUGGCUAAAGGUUUACUAGAACAAAAUGCUUUUGUUAGUUACAUUACAGUAAAGAGAAAAGAAAGUGAAAAGCCAAAACAAGAUUUAUAUGCUGAUGUUUCUUUGUACCUUCUUCUUUAUUUUUUUCAAUUGUUUUUGUACCUUCUUAUCAUUUUCAUCUUCUGUUCUUGUCUCUUUCUGUUUCCUCUAUGUUUAAUUUUUCUCCAUUAACGCGGCUUCGUCACUUUGUG
rnacentral:lncRNA from 1 species